UUUAAAUUAAAAUCUAGAAAAUUCGAAUUAUCUAUGGAUGAUUAAUUUUUAACCAUUUAACAUUGGAUGUUAUGUGAGUUGUUUUUCUGAAUAAAUGCGGAAUCAAAAAAACUUACAUAAAAAUUCAGUAUUUUUAAUAUUAGCAUUAAUAGCAAAUUUCAUUGCGAACAUGCAGCCGUAAUUUGUUGAAACGAACUUUCAUACGCGACAGACAGCCCCUUGUGCAGAGGCUUUUUCAGCGCAGAGGAAUCAGUCA